AGUAAUAAAUGACAGAAUUUUCAUUUUUGGGUGAACUAACCCUUUAAUUUAUUCACCCUCCUCAGGCCAUCCCAAAUAAGGUUAAAAAAACAUAUGCAGGCAAAACAAAAUUAAUAUCCGUGGCUCCUGGCGAUACAUUGAGGUCUUAAGAAGUGAAACGAUUGGUCUAUGUGUAACGGAUGUAGGCUAGUAAGAGCUGUGUGUGUAAAAACCUCACUCCCCUGAUCUCAAGAGACGCUCUAGCGACUGACGCUCUGAAACACUGCGGUCUUUAGCCUCCUUGUUAGAGUGCCUGACUCCCAUGCUGGCGCACCUGGGUUUGAGUCCCACUUAGAGCGGGUGGUUUGAAUAGGAGGGGUUACAUAUGCAAGAAACUGAACAUUAUUUACCUGUAAUCCACAGCCUCGGCAAAUGGUCCAGAGCGCGUUCACGCGGCAGUCUAGAGUGCGAGUUUCCUGUCGCAUAAUGACGUAUGAGCUCAAACGUGGGGAAUCGGUCAAUCUUCCCGACUGAAAUUGCUCAAGAAAAUGUAAUCUUAAUUUUCUAUAUUGGUUGCAGGAUCCAGCACAAGUGCACCACUUUGAUAAACAAUACAACAUAUACUUCCAUUAUGUGAAUCACAGAGGACCACGGUUUCAGCUAAAAAUCUUCUUUACUGUUUAAAGUCACCUAACUUACAUCUUGGAUGGCCUGAGGAAGAAGCUGAGAAGAGAAAUGACUUCACAGGAAGCCACUGUAAGAUGGUGUAAUGAUGGUUCCAUCUCUGAUGUUGACAGUGCAGCAGUUCCACUGGCUGCAACACAAGACACGAGCGGGAGUGAGAGGCAGCUCCCAUGUCCUGUGUUGCAGCCCCUGGCCCAGCCACAGGUCACCUUCAUCUCUCCCGCUUCUGCUGCCUUACUGCAAAACAGAUAAAGAGGCACAGACUGAGUAUAAAAGAGAGAAAAUGAGGGGGAGAGAUAUAGAAUGGUGUGUAUGUGAGAAGGAGAGAGAAAGAACGCUUCCAUGUCUUGAAUACCACAUCCAUCACAAACACUGAAAAUAACUUUCCUGUUUCAUCUCGUAUCGGACUAGCCCUACCCCUCACGCGUGACCACGCCAGGGGAACGCAGACACUCUGGCCCAAAUUGCUUAAAGUGAGGUUAAUGACAUCGUAAGGCACCUUCCAGCAAAGACAGAGAAUCUCUCGAGAGCCUUCCUCAGAUUUCGAGCAAAGUCAGAGCAAAGCAUUUCCAUUUUUAUCACAGGUAAAAGAUGGCAAUCGGUGAAAUCUCGCAGCUCCUAGUGUGAAAAUGGGUCCAACCUACUUUUGAAACUGCUGGGAGACGCACUACAUGACGCUUUAGCAGUCAGUCCAAGGACGACCCGACAAGGUGAACUGAAAGAAGAGCUGGUAGGAAAAACUUGCGUGCUGACAAAACGGUGAAAUUCAGUAUGGACCCGAUCAGAUAAUACGGACCUGAGAGUUCGGAUGUGUUCUGUGAAACGCAGUCUGGCAUUGUAGCGGAAAAAGGACUCUAAAAUGAAAAACAUACUCUAUCUAAUGGGGAAAAAAACAGUUGAGAUGGCACAUGGGAAAUAUGAAAUGUCAAAAAGCAAAGUAGAGAAUCGAAAUCAUACAUUUGUCACACAAUAAAGCAGUUAUUUUAAGAAAAAGUAGGCCAUCUAUUUAAGCAUUUUUUCCUUUGCUUACCUGAAUU